AUUGAACGCUGGCGGCAGGCCUAACACAUGCAAGUCGAGCGGAUGAAGGGAGCUUGCUCCUGGAUUCAGCGGCGGACGGGUGAGUAAUGCCUAGGAAUCUGCCUGGUAGUGGGGGAUAACGUCCGGAAACGGGCGCUAAUACCGCAUACGUCCUGAGGGAGAAAGUGGGGGAUCUUCGGACCUCACGCUAUCAGAUGAGCCUAGGUCGGAUUAGCUAGUUGGUGGGGUAAAGGCCUACCAAGGCGACGAUCCGUAACUGGUCUGAGAGGAUGAUCAGUCACACUGGAACUGAGACACGGUCCAGACUCCUACAGGAGGCAGCAGUGGGGAAUAUUGGACAAUGGGCGAAAGCCUGAACCAGCCAUGCCGCGUGUGUGAAGAAGGUCUUCGGAUUGUAAAGCACUUUAAGUUGGGAGGAAGGGCAGUAAGUUAAUACCUUGCUGUUUUGACGUUACCAACAGAAUAAGCACCGGCUAACUUCGUG
rnacentral:rRNA from 1 species